rnacentral:SRP_RNA from 1 species
GCCGGGAGCUGUGGUGCGUGCCUGUAGUGCCAGCUACUCGGGAGGCUGAGGUGGGAGGAUCGCUUGAGCCCAGGAGCUCCGGGCUGUAGUGUGCUGUGCCGAUCGGGGUGUUCGGGUGUCCUCACUAAGUUCGGCAACAAUGUGGUGACCUCCCAGGAGCAGGAGACCACUAGGUUGCCUAAGGAGGGGUGAGCCGGCCCAGGUCGGAAACGGAGCAGUUCAACACUCCCGUGCUGAUCAGUAGUGGGACGACACCUGUGAAUAGCGACUGCACUCCAGCCUGGGCAACAAAGCGAAAUCCCGUCCCU